GAUGAAAUCCGACGGUCGACCAAGUUGACUUGCUUAAAGUGCAUAAUCGCGUGUCAAGCGACUUCAAUGCAUUUUAGUCAAGUUAAUUUGGGCGGUUCCGCCACACUAGCAUCAACUUUAGUUGUAUUAUUGUUGUUUGCCGGGGUACGCUGCGGAUUUUAAAAGAGGGGAGGCUAGAUAUAAGCAACAUUAUGCAAAUUUAUAACACAACAGAAAUAAACAUGCACAAAUCAUGUUGUGGUUACCUCUCCCAGUAAAGCCGGACGAUAAGGCACGAUCAUUGUUUCAACUUCCCCCAUCAAUUCUUGUCUAAGCGUGGCUUUAAGUUGUUCUC
rnacentral:lncRNA from 1 species